AGACUUUGAAAUCUAAAAGCACUUGAAUUUUUAGCACUGAAUUAUUUUACAUUGAAUUAUUGCAUGUGAUUUUUUUUUGCCUCUGAAUUAAACACUUUAAUUUUUCAGUAUAUCAUUUUCACUUAUUUUAUUUUAAUGUAAAAAAAAAAUCAAAAGUAAAAAUUCAAGUUUAAAAAAUUCAAUUAAAAUAAAUUCAGGUUGCUCAAAUUCGACCUGUCAAAUUCGACUGCUAAAAUACAACGCUCAAAAUUCGCUGUCAACACCCGGGACACACAGGAUGAGCAAUAGAUUCAGUCUUCAAUCGAGCCAACAACCAGCCAAUCACAUCACGCUCCGAAGAUCACGUGACAGGUAGCGCCUCACGGCUCAGAGCCGCUCAACGCGAGUCACAGCCCCCUCCGCUGCUCCUCUCGAGUAGGAUAUUUUCUCGCAGAAAAAGAAAGGAUAAUAAAAGGUAGGUAAUGUUCUUAAAAUGUUUAAUUAUAUCCAUGUAUCAAAUGCAGUAAUUUUUCAAGUUUCUUUUGUAUUCCACAGGUUUCCUUUCUCCAAACUUUUAAAGAACAAAUAAAGAAAUCCAAUUUCAUGCA